rnacentral:rRNA from 1 species
CCUACGGGAGGCAGCAGUGGGGAAUUUUGGACAAUGGGCGAAAGCCUGAUCCAGCAAUGCCGCGUGAGUGAAGAAGGCCUUCGGGUUGUAAAGCUCUUUUGUCAGGGAAGAAACGGUGAAAGCUAAUAUCUUUUGCUAAUGACGGUACCUGAAGAAUAAGCACCGGCUAACUACGUGCCAGCAGCCGCGGUAAUACGUAGGGUGCAAGCGUUAAUCGGAAUUACUGGGCGUAAAGCGUGCGCAGGCGGUUUUGUAAGUCUGAUGUGAAAUCCCCGGGCUCAACCUGGGAAUUGCAUUGGAGACUGCAAGGCUAGAAUCUGGCAGAGGGGGGUAGAAUUCCACGUGUAGCAGUGAAAUGCGUAGAUAUGUGGAGGAACACCGAUGGCGAAGGCAGCCCCCUGGGUCAAGAUUGACGCUCAUGCACGAAAGCGUGGGGAGCAAACAGGAUUAGAUACCCUGGUAGUCCACGCCCUAAACGAUGUCUACUAGUUGUCGGGUCUUAAUUGACUUGGUAACGCAGCUAACGCGUGAAGUAGACCGCCUGGGGAGUACGGUCGCAAGNUUAAAACNCAAAUGAAAUUGACGG